rnacentral:tRNA from 4 species
GGGGGUAUAGCUCAGUUGGGAGAGCACCUGCCUUGCACGCAGGGGGUCAAGAGUUCGAAUCUCUUUACCUCCACCA